AUGUGGGUAUCUGCCUUUUGGUUUGGAAUAACACGAGGAAACUUGUGCUAAUACCAGAUAAGCCCUUACGGGGAAAGUUUUAACGCCGAAAGAUGAGCCCGCACUUGAUUAGUUUGUUGGUGGGGUAAUGGCCUACCAAGACUGUGAUCAAUAGCUGAUUUGAGAGGAUGAUCAGCCACAUUGGGACUGAGACACGGCCCAAACUCCUACGGGAGGCAGCAGUGGGGAAUCUUGCACAAUGGAGGAAACUCUGAUGCAGCGAUGCCGCGUGAGUGAAGAAGGCCCUUGGGUUGUAAAGCUCUUUCGUCGGGGAAGAAAAUGACUGUACCCGAAUAAGAAGGUCCGGC
rnacentral:rRNA from 1 species